AUGAAAUCGAGCAACCCAUCGGGAGACACAAGUCCAUGAAAUACGAACUGUUCAAGGAAUAACCCAAAAGGUGAUGGCAGUCCAUCAUUCACCGAUACCCCUUUAGGAUGAGAGAGGUAGUGAAUCAGGCGAAACUUCAGGGACAUAAAUGGGCCACCAUCCUACCCAAUUCAAAGACCGAUUUCACGUUACGCACACUUCCUGAACCCCCCCUUUCUUGCAACAGGCUAUAGACACCCUCCACAAAC